rnacentral:lncRNA from 1 species
UCUGCCUCCUGCAGAGCCCGGAGGCCUGGCCCCAGCUGACUCAGGCCCAGAGCUCUGAGAGCAGAGGGCACACCCCAGAACACAGUGAGGCCCUCCACACUGUGCUGCCGGAGGCCAGGCUGAACACCGGCUGCUCCAGGAGGCUUCUUCCCGCGGUGGCAUCCUGAGGGACCUCAGAGCCUUCUCUGCAGUCCCUCUGCUAAGGUGCAGACCGGCCAGGAUGGACCAGGCCAGGUCUUUCACGGACCCACCAUACUCUUCUGCAUGUGGCCCACAUGAAGAAACCCAGCUCUCAGCAGCAGCAGACCUGCGGGGAAGGGCCAGGCCCGCAGUCGGCUCCUCUGGCAGAAGUCAGACCUGCCUGAUGAGCCUGGUGGCCCUGAAAGCCAGCAGCACUCCAGGACACUGCAGCCCAUGGACACCGACUCCUCAGGGGUCCACCAUGGCCUGAGAGGUGGAAACUCCCAGCAUUGCCGGCCGGUCACCAACCUCUGUUCUCCUUCCAGCCCAUGAGCUGGAAGAUGGGCUGAGCAUGAGUGUGGGCCAGUCCCCAAGGGAGGAUGAGAUAGCAGGGUCUCACCCCCUGGGGACAGCCCAAAUCCCUGCCAAGCCGCCUGAAGGUGGGCGUGACCUCCGUUAUUCUGGAACUAGGAGCCUGAGCACCUUCCUCUGUAAUGAGGAAUCCUAGGAAACAGUUAUGGAGAUGUUGGGAGGAAGGUGACCUCCCCAGGCUGACACCCAGGAGACACGCACACCCUGCUUCUGGG